CCUACGGGUGGCAGCAGUGGGGAAUAUUGCUCAAUGGGGGAAACCCUGAAGCAGCAACGCCGCGUGGAGGAUGAAGGUUUUCGGAUUGUAAACUUCUUUUGGUAGAGAAGAUAAUGACGGUACCUGACGAAUAAGCCCCGGCUAACUCCGUGCCAGCAGCCGCGGUAAUACGGAGGGGGCAAGCGUUACCCGGAUUCACUGGGCGUAAAGAGCGCGUAGGCGGGAUAGCAAGUCAGGUGUGAAAUCCUAGGGCCUAACCAUAGAACUGCAUUUGAAACUGUGUUGCUGGAGUACGGGAGAGGCAGGUGGAAUUCGUGGUGUAGCGGUGAAAUGCGUAGAUAUCAAGAGGAAUACUGAUUGCGAAGGCGGCCUGCUGGAACGGAACUGACGCUGAUGCUCGAAAGCGUGGGGAGCAAACAGGAUUAGAUACCCUAGUAGUC
rnacentral:rRNA from 1 species